rnacentral:rRNA from 1 species
AAUGGGCGCAAGCCUGAUCUAGCCAUGCCGCGUGAGUGAUGAAGGCCUUAGGGUCGUAAAGCUCUUUCGCCUGUGAAGAUAAUGACUGUAGCAGGUAAAGAAACCCCGGCUAACUCCGUGCCAGCAGCCGCGGUAAUACGGAGGGGGUUAGCGUUGUUCGGAAUUACUGGGCGUAAAGCGCGCGUAGGCGGACAUUUAAGUCAGAGGUGAAAUCCCAGGGCUCAACCCUGGAACUGCCUUUGAUACUGGGUGUCUUGAGUUCGAGAGAGGUGAGUGGAAUUCCGAGUGCAGAGGUGAAAUUCGUAGAUAUUCGGAGGAACACCAGUGGCGAAGGCGGCUCACUGGCUCGAUACUGACGCUGAGGUGCGAAAGUGUGGGGAGCAAACAGGAUU